UAGAGGAAAAGAAAGAAAGAAAGAAAGAAAGAGAAGACAAGAGUGGUGGUAACUAACUAAUCAUGAAAUUGAGAUCAACAAAAUCGACACGGACUUUUCACAUCAUUCUAUUUCUUUGUUACUGUUGUUGUUGUUCAUCUCCUUUUUCUA
rnacentral:ribozyme from 1 species